rnacentral:rRNA from 1 species
AUGAACGCUGGCGGCGUGCCUAAUACAUGCAAGUCGAGCGAACGGACGAGAAGCUUGCUUUUCUGAUGUUAGCGGCGGACGGGUGAGUAACACGUGGAUAACCUACCUAUAAGACUGGGAUAACUUCGGGAAACCGGAGCUAAUACCGGAUAAUAUUUUGAACCGCCUGGUUCAAAAGUGAAAGACGGUCUUGCUGUCACUUAUAGAUGGAUCCGCGCUGCAUUAGCUAGUUGGUAAGGUAACGGCUUACCAAGGCAACGAUGCAUAGCCGACCUGAGAGGGUGAUCGGCCACACUGGAACUGAGACACGGUCCAGACUCCUACGGGAGGCAGCAGUAGGGAAUCUUCCGCAAAGGGCGAAAGCCUGACGGAGCAACGCCGCGUGAGUGAUGAAGGUCUUCGGAUCGUAAAACUCUGUUAUUAGGGAAGAACAUAUGUGUAAGUAACUGUGCACAUCUUGACGGUACCUAAUCAGAAAGCCACGGCUAACUACGUG